GGCGUGGCCGGCAUGGUGAUGUCCGCGCUCUCCGCGCCGAUCUACGCCCGCUCGCUGUUCGACGCGGCGCUGCGCCGC
rnacentral:tRNA from 2 species